rnacentral:tRNA from 2 species
GGAGGAGUGGCUCAAAGGUUGAGCGGCGGACCGUUAAUCCGCGAGCGUAUGCUCUAUGUAGGUUCGAGUCCUACCUCCUCCG